UUGUGCUACACAGUGUCUGGGGCAACACGCCGGGCGAGACAGGCAUAUUAAACACACAGUUAGCACUAUGCGCUCCUGAGAUGAACAUCAUACACCAGAGCGCACAUAAGACUAAAGUCUAUUUCCUUAUUUUAAGAGUGGAGACAGAAAACACGUAAGAGAAGAGCUUACUCUCCAGGCAGACAUCUACUGUUUUGCAGAUGUAUCUGGAGGGAAAGAUGUAGGCUGUGUGAUUAUUUGCUCCCCCCCCCCUUCUCCUCCUACCUUAAGGUUGGAUACUGAAGGUGGCGCUUGGACACUGUUGCAGGCGCCUGGAUGCGUCGCUGCGCCCGCCAGCCUGGCUGCCUGCUGUAGAAGGAUACAUUUUAGCAGCUGUCUCUUCUACAGACGCUAACCCCACUAACCGACGGGAAUCCACUGUAGCCUGAAGGAGAUGACAUCAUCCUGGAGGAGCUCGGGCUUACACAGCACAACAGAUGUAGAUAACGCUGCAGACACACCUCACUUCCUGAGAGGAGAGUUAUGGCUUCCUGGGAGAGGCACCGCCGUCCCCUGGAGCCCUGAGGAGUUCGACAGCUACCUAUGGAGAGGGCACAUCUAUGACUUGUAGACCUGCUCUGAGGCUUCUCCUCUCACUUUGAGAUCCUCCGUGUACCUGUCAAAGGGUCAAAAGGGGUCUUUCAUGUCGGCAGGAGUGACCUGAUGUGCAGUAUCUUCACAUCUUAGGAGAUUACAGUGGUGAUGUAUGAAAUAGACUGCUCCCAACCCACUACUCAACUUCAGAGACAUGACCGGAGGAAAUGGCUAAUUUAAGCAAAAGAAAAAAGAAAAAAAGUGGUGCCAAAAUAAGUCCUACAAUUUCUCUCUGUUUGACUUUCUUUGUUGAAAUGUCUGAGUUUAAGUCAUUAAACGACUGCUAAACAACCUCUACUCUCUGUAUUUCUCACUCCUCUUCAGAAAGAGGAAUGAGGAUCUGCGAGGCUUCGUGCACGCUGAUUCUAGGGAUUCCCCCUCUGUCUGCUCCAUCCAGUCCUGCUGUUUUAUUUGGCUGAUGGGGAGCAGGAUGUGAGAUUUACACCACCGCAGAAAAACGAGGGCAAGUCGAGACACAAAGAUGGACAUGGUGGUUAACUCCCCGAUCAUGUCACCAGAGAAGAGAUAAAUGGUGAAAGGAAAACAAGCAAGGGGAAGCUGACUAUUUUUCUAAAAGCUGCACGGAAGUUUCUAAUUAUAUCCACUCAGAGACCUGUAACCUCCACUGAGACACUCAGCCGCACACUGACACACAUUCACCAGCAUCUGCACACACACUCACACACACACACAAACACACACACAUACACACACACACACACCAUUGCAGAGACCUAACCUUUGCUGGCCUUGCUGUCCCCUCCGAGCAAGAACCAAAUUAGACGACGAGAGGAAAAUAAUGUCCUCCCUCUUUGCUGCUGUUAAAGGCCAGUAAUCUCUCAUUUACGCUGACAUUAAGAAGAAGCAAGUUUCACACUAACAUACUCCUGUCAUUAGAAUUGUAAGAGAGGAGAGAAGAGAAGAGAGGAGAGGAGAGGAGAGGAGAGGAGAGGAAA